UGGGGAAUAUUGGACAAUGGGCGAAAGCCUGAUCCAGCCAUGCCGCGUGUGUGAAGAAGGCCUUAUGGUUGUAAAGCACUUUAAGCGAGGAGGAGGGUACUGGUAUUAAUACUACCAGGUACUGGACGUUACUCGCAGAAUAAGCACCGGCUAACUCUGUGCCAGCAGCCGCGGUAAUACAGAGGGUGCGAGCGUUAAUCGGAUUUACUGGGCGUAAAGCGUGCGUAGGCGGCUAAUUGAGUCGGAUGUGAAAUCCCCGAGCUUAACUUAGGAAUUGCAUUCGAUACUGGUUAGAUAGAGUGUAGGAGAGGAUGGUAGAAUUCCAGGUGUGGCGGUGAAAUGCGUAGAGAUCUGGAGGAAUACAGAUGGCGAAGGCAGCCAUCUGGCCUAACACUGACGCUGAGGUACGAAAGCAUGGGGAGCAAACAGG
rnacentral:rRNA from 1 species